CCUACGGGAGGCAGCAGUCGAGAAUCAUUCACAAUGGGGGAAACCCUGAUGGUGCGACGCCGCGUGGGGGAAUGAAGGUCUUCGGAUUGUAAACCCCUGUCAUGUGGGAGCAAAUUAAAAAGAUAGUACCACAAGAGGAAGAGACGGCUAACUCUGUGCCAGCAGCCGCGGUAAUACAGAGGUCUCAAGCGUUGUUCGGAAUCACUGGGCGUAAAGCGUGCGUAGGCUGUUUCGUAAGUCGUGUGUGAAAGGCGCGGGCUCAACCCGCGGACGGCACAUGAUACUGCGAGACUGGAGUAAGGGAGGGGGAACCGGAAUUCUCGGUGUAGCAGUGAAAUGCGUAGAUAUCGAGAGGAACACUCGUGGCGAAGGCGGGUUCCUGGACAUUAACUGACGCUGAGGCACGAAGGCCAGGGGAGCGAAAGGGAUUAGAUACCCCGGUAGUC
rnacentral:rRNA from 1 species